rnacentral:rRNA from 1 species
ACUACGGGUGGCAGCAGUGGGGAAUAUUGCACAAUGGGCGCAAGCCUGAUGCAGCCAUGCCGCGUGUGUGAAGAAGGCCUUCGGGUUGUAAAGCACUUUCAGCGGGGAGGAAGGCGUUAAGGUUAAUAACCUUGGCGAUUGACGUUACCCGCAGAAGAAGCACCGGCUAACUCCGUGCCAGCAGCCGCGGUAAUACGGAGGGUGCAAGCGUUAAUCGGAAUUACUGGGCGUAAAGCGCACGCAGGCGGUCUGGCAAGUCGGAUGUGAAAUCCCCGGGCUCAACCUGGGAACUGCAUUCGAAACUGGCAGGCUAGAGUCUUGUAGAGGGGGGUGGAAUUCCAGGUGUAGCGGUGAAAUGCGUAGAGAUCUGGAGGAAUACCGGUGGCGAAGGCGGCCCCCUGGACAAAGACUGACGCUCAGGUGCGAAAGCGUGGGGAGCAAACAGGAUUAGAUACCCGUGUAGUC